rnacentral:rRNA from 1 species
ACACUAUCGUUAACUGAAUACAUAGGUUAACGAGGCGAACCGGGGGAACUGAAACAUCUAAGUACCCCGAGGAAAAGAAAUCAACCGAGAUUCCCCCAGUAGCGGCGAGCGAACGGGGAGCAGCCCGGAGUCUGAAUCAGCUUGUGUGUUAGUGGAACGGUCUGGAAAGUCCGACGGUACAGGGUGAUAGUCCCGUACACGAAAACACACUUGCUGUGAACUCGAAGAGUAGGGCGGGACACGUGGUAUCCUGUCUGAAUAUGGGGGGACCAUCCUCCAAGGCUAAAUACUCCUGACUGACCGAUAGUGAACCAGUACCGUGAGGGAAAGGCGAAAAGAACCCCGGCGAGGGGAGUGAAAAAGAACCUGAAACCGUGUACGUACAAGCAGUGGGAGCACCUUCGGGUGUGACUGCGUACCUUUUGUAUAAUGGGUCAGCGACUUAUAUUCUGUAGCAAGGUUAACCGUAUAGGGGAGCCGAAGGGAAACCGAGUCUUAACUGGGCGUUAAGUUGCAGGGUAUAGACCCGAAACCCGGUGAUCUAGCCAUGGGCAGGUUGAAGGUUGGGUAACACUAACUGGAGGACCGAACCGACUAAUGUUGAAAAAUUAGCGGAUGACCUGUGGCUGGGGGUGAAAGGCCAAUCAAACCGGGAGAUAGCUGGUUCUCCCCGAAAGCUAUUUAGGUAGCGCCUCGUGAACUCAUCUUCGGGGGUAGAGCACUGUUUCGGCUAGGGGGCCAUCCCGGCUUACCAACCCGAUGCAAACUACGAAUACCGAAGAAUGUUAUCACGGGAGACACACGGCGGGUGCUAACGUCCGUCGUGAAGAGGGAAACAACCCAGACCGCCAGCUAAGGUCCCAAAGUCAUGGUUAAGUGGGAAACGAUGUGGGAAGGCACAGACAGCCAGGAUGUUGGCUUAGAAGCAGCCAUCAUUUAAAGAAAGCGUAAUAGCUCACUGGUCGAGUCGGCCUGCGCGGAAGAUGUAACGGGGCUAAACCAUGCACCGAAGCUGCGGCAGCGACACUAUGUGUUGUUGGGUAGGGGAGCGUUCUGUAAGCCGUUGAAGGUGUGCUGUGAGGCAUGCUGGAGGUAUCAGAAGUGCGAAUGCUGACAUAAGUAACGAUAAAGCGGGUGAAAAGCCCGCUCGCCGGAAGACCAAGGGUUCCUGUCCAACGUUAAUCGGGGCAGGGUGAGUCGACCCCUAAGGCGAGGCCGAAAGGCGUAGUCGAUGGGAAACAGGUUAAUAUUCCUGUACUUGGUGUUACUGCGAAGGGGGGACGGAGAAGGCUAUGUCAGCCGGGCGACGGUUGUCCCGGUUUAAGCAUGUAGGCGGAGGUUCCAGGUAAAUCCGGUACCUUUUAACGCUGAGGUGUGAUGACGAGGCACUACGGUGCUGAAGUGAUAAAUGCCCUGCUUCCAGGAAAAGCCUCUAAGCAUCAGGUAACACGAAAUCGUACCCCAAACCGACACAGGUGGUCAGGUAGAGAAUACCAAGGCGCUUGAGAGAACUCGGGUGAAGGAACUAGGCAAAAUGGUGCCGUAACUUCGGGAGAAGGCACGCUGAUAGGUAGGUGAAGCCCCUGCGGGCGGAGCUGAAAUCAGUCGAAGAUACCAGCUGGCUGCAACUGUUUAUUAAAAACACAGCACUGUGCAAACACGAAAGUGGACGUAUACGGUGUGACGCCUGCCCGGUGCCGGAAGGUUAAUUGAUGGGGUUAGCGGCAACGCGAAGCUCUUGAUCGAAGCCCCGGUAAACGGCGGCCGUAACUAUAACGGUCCUAAGGUAGCGAAAUUCCUUGUCGGGUAAGUUCCGACCUGCACGAAUGGCGUAAUGAUGGCCAGGCUGUCUCCACCCGAGACUCAGUGAAAUUGAACUCGCUGUGAAGAUGCAGUGUACCCGCGGCAAGACGGAAAGACCCCGUGAACCUUUACUAUAGCUUGACACUGAACACUGGUCCUUGAUGUGUAGGAUAGGUGGGAGGCUUUGAAGCGUGGACGCCAGUCUGCGUGGAGCCAUCCUUGAAAUACCACCCUUUAAUGGCUGGUGUUCUAACGUAGACCCGUGAUCCGGGUUGCGGACAGUGUCUGGUGGGUAGUUUGACUGGGGCGGUCUCCUCCCAAAGAGUAACGGAGGAGCACGAAGGUUGGCUAAUCCUGGUCGGACAUCAGGAGGUUAGUGCAAUGGCAUAAGCCAGCUUGACUGCGAGCGUGACGGCGCGAGCAGGUGCGAAAGCAGGUCAUAGUGAUCCGGUGGUUCUGAAUGGAAGGGCCAUCGCUCAACGGAUAAAAGGUACUCCGGGGAUAACAGGCUGAUACCGCCCAAGAGUUCAUAUCGACGGCGGUGUUUGGCACCUCGAUGUCGGCUCAUCACAUCCUGGGGCUGAAGUAGGUCCCAAGGGUAUGGCUGUUCGCCAUUUAAAGUGGUACGCGAGCUGGGUUUAGAACGUCGUGAGACAGUUCGGUCCCUAUCUGCCGUGGGCGCUGGAGAAUUGAGGGGGGCUGCUCCUAGUACGAGAGGACCGGAGUGGACGCAUCACUGGUGUUCGGGUUGUCAUGCCAAUGGCACUGCCCGGUAGCUAAAUGCGGAAGAGAUAAGUGCUGAAAGCAUCUAAGCACGAAACUUGCCCCGAGAUGAGUUCU